UUAACUCAAAUUCGUAUGCAGUUGAAACAGCGUCCCUAGCGGCAAACGUAGGCAAACGUUUCAACUCCAUACAAACGUUAGUUA
rnacentral:pre_miRNA from 1 species